rnacentral:rRNA from 1 species
UUUUUAUUAAGAGUUUGAUCCUGGCUCAGGAUGAACGCUGGCGGCGUGCCUAACACAUGCAAGUCGAGCGGUCCAACACUCAACUGAACUACGUUCAUUUAAGUAUUGGACACGAAAACGAAGCGUAGCUGAGUUGAGUGUUGGAUAGCGGCGGACGGGUGAGUAACGCGUGGGCAACCUACCUUGUACAGGGGGAUAACAGUGGGAAACCAUUGCUAAUACCCCAUAAGACUACACUAGGGCAUCCUAGAGUAGCCAAAGAACAUCGGUACAAGAUGGGCCCGCGUCUGAUUAGCUAGUUGGUGGGGUAAAGGCCUACCAAGGCGACGAUCAGUAGCCGGCCUGAGAGGGUGACCGGCCACACUGGAACUGAGACACGGUCCAGACUCCUACGGGAGGCAGCAGUGGGGGAUAUUGCACAAUGGGGGAAACCCUGAUGCAGCGACGCCGCGUGAGCGAAGAAG